AGGAAAUGAGCUUCAAAAACGAAGUCUGGUUUUGGCCGCUUGGUUCUCAUACAUUUCGCUGGAGUCAAGUUAUCUCAGUGCUACGACGAGAAGAGAACGGAGUAAACAACAGAACUUUUUAAAGCGACAUUGAUGGAGAUGUAUAUAUCCUUCUGGAAUGCUGGCUCUCCAUCAAUGAAAGAAUGCAACACGUGCUGCCAACGCUUAUUCCACUGCCCGCUGAGCCCAAUCUUUGAACCAUCAAAGUUUGCUUCUACCUGACCCCUUCCUGCAUGUUAGCUGAGACAAUCCUCUUGUCAGAACAGAUACCUACCUCCGCCACUUUCAGAGCAAAUCACCAAAAACUCUGUGUAGUCAGACUGUCAAGCUCAUGAAGCUGAUAGCAUCUGCUACCAGUGUGCAAGAAAAAAUUGACAGAGGUGAAAUCAACAUGAUGGGCUACCUCUUUGAUGUCAUACUUCAAGAGGUAAUCAUCAAGAUCUUGAAAAAGAAUGAGGGCUUCAGCUGCUAUCGGGCAGAAUUUGCCAUGGCCAGCGGAUUUCACCAUUAAAGGCUGAAUAAAUGUGAUAGUCUUGAUUGUAUUUAUUUUGGAUGUUUGAUUAAAGAAAAGUCUAUUGUAA